rnacentral:lncRNA from 1 species
UACUGAACCCAAACAUAUAGAUUAAUGAAUAAGUUAACUUUCAUAAAUACUUUGGAGAUGGAAUUUGGAAAAUAUUUAAAUUUCACUUCAAAUGAUAUGAUCAAACACUGUCCAAAUUACAAACCAGCAACCUAACAUGUCAUACCAUGCAUGUUAAAAGCAAGUUGAUCUGAGCAUCAGGUCGAAUCAAUUAAAAUGGUAUCCGAGAAUACCUC